CCUGAUUUCACCAUCAUGGGUGGUGUCAUUGUUGCCAUUAACUUAGCUUUAAAAUUUGUAAAGCAUGAAAAGUUUAGAAUUAGACAGACUUUCUCCCCUAGGCUUUUGAUAAGCAGGCCUCAGUACCACAGGAUGACAGCAUUGGAAAGCAUUCAAAUGAACAAAAUAUUGAAAAGAGUCCUUUGAACAACUGAAGAACUGCUCCUGUCUUCAGCCGUUAGGAGGAGGACAUGGAAGCACAACUCUGCACUCCUGUACUGGCAUCCUUCACUUCCUGUGCAACAGAGGCAGAUGCUUAGUCCAUUUCACCAUAGCAAGAUUUUCAACCUGCAGACGCAGACUUUGUCGCCAACUGUGCAGAGCUGAGGUCACUCUUCUUUGCUUUAUGUGGAAACAAAACUUGAGGAGGGGGAAGACUAUAGUGUUUUUUUCCUCCUGUAAAGCAGAGAAAAAGUCUUUUGAGACAACAUCUGGCAGAGAACUGAUAUCAGUGAUAAAAAUUAACUGCUCCACUCUUACUGCAGCAUUCUUUCCUUUAAAAAUUUACCAAUGUUUUCAUCCACUUUAAAACAACAUAUUCUCCUCUGUGCUAACAGUCAAUGGAUUUUUUUUUUGGUUCAGAGCAGUUCAUUAUCAUAAUCUAGUCUGAUCUCCUGUGUAACACAAACCAUGAAAUUUCACCUAUAGAUUCUACUUCCUAAUAAUCUGUCAGAGAAGAUAAAUUUUGGGUACAGUUUAUUUCUGUACUGACUGGCAAACCUCUCCUGCUCUAACACAGAAAUUUAUAAGUACUCUCACCCUGACCUGCCACUUAAGUCAGCGAUGAUAAAAUUAGAGCAGUCUGUCCAAAAGAAUUAUUUUCUUUCAUUCUGAAGCAUUGGAUGACAUUUUGAUUUUAUUCAUGUACAAGCUGAACCAAAUACCAGUCACGUCCUUGUUUCAGUGCACCGUGUUGCUCAGGGAGCUUGAAGGCUGAAUGCACAUGAUACCACAGCCCACUAAUGUAGCUGCUCAGAGUCAUUUCUUCUAACAUACACAAAGCUGACAAAUGAGCCAUGAGUUCAAGUGAAGGUCUGAUCUCUGCAAAGACACUGAUAAGACAUGUUAAGGUCACUUUGCCCUUAGCAUAAACUACAUCCUUCCAGCUCUGUGAAAUUAAUUGAAUUAACCCAAGAUGUUCAUUAUACCAGGUGGAGACUGUUCCUCUGCACUUUUGGGAAUAUUAAUUCUGCUGUGUUUUGCUUUUGUCUGAGUUAACACUCUUUACGACUGCAAAUGUACAGGAGGAUCUCUUGAAGACAAUGGGAUGUUCAACACAAUAUGGAAUAUUUUGUUUUAUGCAGCUCAUGGUUUCUUGCUAGACUUUUGUGACUUCUACUCACUUAUAAUCCAGAAUAAUAUCUUUGGUACUCCUAGAACAUUCACUUUUUACUUCAUCUUUGCUCAAUAAUCAAGAAGUAACACUUAAGAAAUACACCAAGUGUUCCUGAACCAGCAGAGUAUAUCGAUUUUAGCUGUAAUCAAAGAAAAUGGGUCCUGAUGCAAUUAGAUGACAAAGUAGCUCUUCACAGUUCUUCCCUUCAGCAAUUCUUGAAUGCAGCCACCUCACUGUGAGAUGAUUAUAAUGGGGGGCUGCCCAUAUCCAUCUAGCUAGCAUUAGCCUUUCUGAUGUCUUUUUUGUCUCCUAGUUUUGAGUAUUUUUCAACUCCUUAUCAAUCACUGAAAGGUUGAGCACAGUUUCACGCUAGAUAUUUGAAGCCUACAGGAUGGGACCAAUGAAUAAACAUGUACUUUCAUUGGUGGCUGCUUGGAAU
ensembl:lncRNA